rnacentral:rRNA from 1 species
UUGACGGGGCCCGCACAAGCGGUGGAGCAUGUGGUUUAAUUCGAUGCAACGCGAAGAACCUUACCUGGGCUUGACAUCCCGGGAAUCCCUUGGAAACAAGGGAGUGCCCUUCGGGGAACCUGGAGACAGGUGCUGCAUGGCUGUCGUCAGCUCGUGUCGUGAGAUGUAGGGUUAAGUCCCGCAACGAGCGCAACCCUUGUCUUUAAUUGCCAUCAUUGAGUUGGGCACUCUAAAGAGACUGCCGGUGUCAAACCGGAGGAAGGUGGGGAUGACGUCAAGUCCUCAUGGCCUUUAUGACCAGGGCUACACACGUACUACAAUGGCCGGUACAAAGGGCAGCGACACAGCGAUGUGAAGCCAAUCCCGAAAAGCCGGUCUCAGUCCGGAUUGGAGUCUGCAACUCGACUCCAUGAAGUUGGAAUCGCUAGUAAUCGCGGAUCAGCACGCCGCGGUGAAUACGUUCCCGGGCCUU